AUUGAACGCUGGCGGCAGGCCUAACACAUGCAAGUCGAGCGGGGUUUUCGGACCUAGCGGCGGACGGGUGAGUAAUGCGUAGGAAGCUGCCCGAUAGAGGGGGAUACCAGUUGGAAACGACUGUUAAUACCGCAUAAUGUCUACGGACCAAAGUGUGGGACCUUCGGGACAAAUGCUAUCGGAUGCGCCUACGUGGGAUUAGCUAGUUGGUGAGGUUAUGGCUCACCAAGGCGACGAUCUUUAGCGGGUUUGAGAGGAUGAUCAGCCACACUGGAACUGAGACACGGUCCAGACUCCUACGGGAGGCAGCAGUGGGGAAUAUUGGACAAUGGGCGCAAGCCUGAUCCAGCCAUGCCGCGUGUGUGAAGAAGGCCUUCGGGUUGUAAAGCACUUUCAGCGAGGAGGAAGGGGUGUGUGUUAAUAGUACACACCUUUGACGUUACUCGCAGAAGAAGCACCGGCUAACUCUGUGCCAGCCGCCGCAGUAACAC
rnacentral:rRNA from 1 species